rnacentral:rRNA from 1 species
CGAGCGAGCUUGCCUAGAUGAUUUUAGUGCUUGCACUAAAUGAAACUAGAUACAAGCGAGCGGCGGACGGGUGAGUAACACGUGGGUAACCUGCCCAAGAGACUGGGAUAACACCUGGAAACAGAUGCUAAUACCGGAUAACAACACUAGACGCAUGUCUAGAGUUUGAAAGAUGGUUCUGCUAUCACUCUUGGAUGGACCUGCGGUGCAUUAGCUAGUUGGUAAGGUAACGGCUUACCAAGGCAAUGAUGCACAGCCGAGUUGAGAGACUGAUCGGCCACAUUGGGACUGAGACACGGCCCAAACUCCUACGGGAGGCAGCAGUAGGGAAUCUUCCACAAUGGACGAAAGUCUGAUGGAGCAACGCCGCGUGAGUGAAGAAGGGUUUCGGCUCGUAAAGCUCUGUUGGUAGUGAAGAAAGAUAGAGGUAGUAACUGGCCUUUAUUUGACGGUAAUUACUUAGAAAGUCACGGCUAACUACGUGCCAGCAGCCGCGGUAAUACGUAGGUGGCAAGCGUUGUCCGGAUUUAUUGGGCGUAAAGCGAGUGCAGGCGGUUCAAUAAGUCUGAUGUGAAAGCCUUCGGCUCAACCGGAGAAUUGCAUCAGAAACUGUUGAACUUGAGUGCAGAAGAGGAGAGUGGAACUCCAUGUGUAGCGGUGGAAUGCGUAGAUAUAUGGAAGAACACCAGUGGCGAAGGCGGCUCUCUGGUCUGCAACUGACGCUGAGGCUCGAAAGCAUGGGUAGCGAACAGGAUUAGAUACCCUGGUAGUCCAUGCCGUAAACGAUG